CCUGGCUCAGAUUGAACGCUGGCGGCAGGCCUAACACAUGCAAGUCGAGCGGUAGCACAGAGAGCUUGCUCUCGGGUGACGAGCGGCGGACGGGUGAGUAAUGUCUGGGAAACUGCCUGAUGGAGGGGGAUAACUACUGGAAACGGUAGCUAAUACCGCAUAACGUCGCAAGACCAAAGUGGGGGACCUUCGGGCCUCAUGCCAUCAGAUGUGCCCAGAUGGGAUUAGCUAGUAGGUGGGGUAAUGGCUCACCUAGGCGACGAUCCCUAGCUGGUCUGAGAGGAUGACCAGCCACACUGGAACUGAGACACGGUCCAGACUCCUACGGGAGGCAGCAGUGGGGAAUAUUGCACAAUGGGCGCAAGCCUGAUGCAGCCAUGCCGCGUGUAUGAAGAAGGCCUUCGGGUUGUAAAGUACUUUCAGCGAGGAGGAAGGCAUUAAGGUUAAUAACCUUAGUGAUUGACGUUACUCGCAGAAGAAGCACCGGCUAACUCCGUGCCAGCAGCC
rnacentral:rRNA from 1 species